CAAGUACUCCCUCCGUCCAGAAUUACUUGUCAUCAAAAUGGAUGUGUCUAGAACUAAAAUACAUCCAGAUACAUCCAUUUCAAUGACAAGUAUUUUUGGACGGAGGGAGUACAAG
rnacentral:pre_miRNA from 1 species